rnacentral:lncRNA from 1 species
CGGAUGAGGGGCAGACUAUCUUCUACGAGUGCCCGGAGUGCGGCCACACGUUCAAUGAGAACACCUAAGAAAAAGGUUUCCUACUAUCAGGGUAUGGAUAUGGGUGGAAGAAACUGCUCCUUCCAUUGGUUGACAAUCGAUGUUCAACGAAAUUUCUCCUGCCAUGCGUUGACCAUUGAUAGAUUCCCUGCAGCGGCCAAAUCCUGGUGCCGCUCGUGAACUCCGCCUCCAUCAGCUCCACUUCGCCGGAGCAAUCAGUCCAGAGGAGGAGGUGUAGCCGGUCCACCUGAUCUCCGACGUCUUAUUCUAACUCCAAAUAAAUUCUUUUCUAGUUCUAUUCUUAGUCACAUGUACACAUGCAGGUUCUAAACUUCUUGUCUAGUCAUUCUAGUACUGAUGAAGAUCGAGUUGACUGAAAUAAUAUAGUCAAUUCUUGAGACCCUUACUGGUCCUUCCAUAUAUAGAAGUUGUGCCUGAUAGCCAAACAUAACUUUUCUCUUUGUUGCCUGCUUGCUUAUUUUGGUGAUACAUUUGGACCUUUGCCUUGUCAGUACAACAACACACUCCACAGCCGAGCACUCCACAGCCGAGCACGAGAAGAGCUGCAUGCAGGCCACCCCUGUGCUCCGUCCUAUAUCCGGCUCAGUCAUCUCCCUCUCAUCCUCUUUCUCUGCUCCAUGUGUGUGUGUGUGCAGGUAGUGGGAGGAGAUAGAGCAGGGGAGUGAGAGGACCUUCCAUGGUGAAUCCAUAGGCAUCUUCCAUGGAGAUUGUGAGCUCUCCCGAUUAUUGCUUGAGGAUUUAUAUUGUAGGUCUGUCCACUGUAGUUCCUUUAUAGCGGCGUCCUCUAUUACUAGUGUUCCUCUUUUGAUGUUGUUGCAUGUGUUUAAUAACCCACUGCUAUGAUUUCUGGAAACAAGCUUCAGUACAGAGAAGCUUUAGUACAAAAGAAGCUUCAGUACGAGAAAAAAUGGGUUGUCAGUUCAUCCAUAUGCAACCUCAUGCGUGGUCGUCCAUUUUUAGUUGGAUCCUACUCGCUGGAAACCACAACAUAG